UUUAUGGUCAAGCAAGAAAGAGCGUACGGAGGAUGCCUUGGUGAAAGAUAGCGAAGAAGGACGUGGUAAGCUGCGAUAAGCUUCGGGUAGCCGCAAAUAGGCUUUGAUCCGGAGAUUUCCGAAUGGGGCAACCCAUCUGCUUUAAUCGGCAGAUAUCUAUCUCUAAAUAAAAUAGGGGCUAGAGGCAAAACCAGGAGAAUUGAACCAUCUUAGUAUCCUGAGGAAAAGAAAACGAAUGCGAUUCCCUUAGUAGCGGCGAGCGAAACGGGAACAGCCUAAACCAAAUAGGGGUAAUAGCCUGUAUGCGUUCUCUAUUUGGAGUUGUAGGACUUAAACAAAGCCAAGAUACAGAUUGGCACAAGGCCUAAAAUUUUUUCGCUUAGUCGAACAGCCUGGAAAGACUGGCUAAAAAAGGUAAUAGCCCUGUAGAUGAAAAGCGAAGAAAGCCUUGAUUAAGUUCCUGAGUACUGCGGAACUCGUGGAAUUCUGUAGGAAUCUGGCCCGACCAUGGGCUAAGGCUAAAUAAAAUCUUUCAACCGAUAGUGAACAAGUACCGUGAGGGAAAGGUGAAAAGAACCCCGAGAGGGGAGUGAAAUAGAACCUGAAACCGUAUGCUUACAAGCAGUCAGAGCCCUAUGCUCUUCCUUAUAUUCGGAAGAGAAUGGGUGAUGACGUGCCUAUUGAAGAAUGAACCGGCGAGUUAUUUAGAGUAGCAAGGUUAAGUCUAUAACAUAGACGGAGCCGUAGCGAAAGCGAGUCUGAAUAGGGCGACAAAAAGUUACUUUAAAUAGACCCGAAGCUGAGUGAUCUACCCAUGGCCAGAAUGAACUCUGCCUAAUCGCAGAGGGAGGUUCGAACCCGUGUAGGUUGAAAACUGCUGGGAUGAGCUGUGGGUCGGAGUGAAAGGCUAAUCAAACUCAGCGAUAGCUGGUUCUCCCCGAAAUAGCUUUAGGGCUAGCCUUCCAGAAAGCGUAGUGGAGGUAGAGUACUAAAUGGAUAAGGAGGCCCACCAGGUCUCCAAAUCCAAUUAAACUCCGAAUUCCAUUAUUGUUGCUGGAGGAGUCAGACUGUGGGGGAUAAGCUCCAUGGUCAAAAGGGAAACAGCCCAGACCAUUAGCUAAGGUCCCUAAUAUGGACUAAGUGGUAAAGGAAGUGGAGUCACUCAGACAAUCAGGAUGUUGGCUCAGAAGCAGCCAUCAUUUAAAGAAAGCGUAACAGCUCACUGAUCGAUUUGAAGUCUCUAAAAAUCGUAAGAUUUGCGAGACUUUUGUAACUCUGCGCCGACAAUGUAACGGGGCUCAAGUCCAUUACCGAAGCCGUGGAUUUAGUUCGUAGUCCAGAGUUCAUAGUUCGUAGAUUUCUAUGAACUAUAGGCUAGUAACUAUGAACUGAAUGGUAGGGGAGCAUUCCCUAAGCGAGUGAAGCCUGACCGCAAGGACAGGUGGACGUAUGGGAAGAGAGUAUGCCGGUAUAAGUAACGAAAAAAUCUGUGAAAAACAGAUUCGCCGAAAGUCUAAGGUUUCCUGGGGAAGGUUAAUCCGCCCAGGGUUAGUCGGUGGCUAAGUCGAGGCUGAAAAGCGUAGAUAAUGCACAAUCCGUUAAUAUUCGGAUACUACCUAAGAACCGUUUUGAGUGAUGAGGUAACGCAGAAGGACAAAUCAGCCACAUAAUGGAUAUUGUGGUUUAAGCCCGUAGGUUGGGAAGAUGAGGAAAAUCUUUAUCUUCCAUUUAAAACCAAGAGGUGAAUAGGAGUUUUCUCUUCGGAGAGAGCGAACUGAUCGAUUCCACGCUGCCAAGAAAAACCUCUAAACAAGGUUUUUGGGUAACCGUACCGCAAACCGACACAGGUAGACAAGCAGAAUAUGCUUAGGCGCUCGAGAUAACUCUCGUUAAGGAACUCGGCAAAUUAACCCCGUAACUUCGGAAUAAGGGGUGCCCUGGUAGUGUGAGGCGUUUUUACAAUUUCUCGCACGAGAGGGUUGCAAAAAAAUGGCUCCUGCGACUGUUUACUAAAAACACAGGUCUCUGCUAAGUCGUAAGACGAUGUAUAGGGACUGACACCUGCCCGGUGCCGGAAGGUUAAGAGGAGAUGUCAUCUGCCCUUUUUGGGUGGAGAAGCGUUGAAUCGAAGCCCUGGUAAACGGCGGCCCUAACUAUAAGGGUCCUAAGGUAGCGAAAUUCCUUGUCGGGUAAGUUCCGACCUGCACGAAUGUUGUAACGAUAGGAGCACUGUCUCAACGAGGGACUCGGUGAAUUUGUGAUACCCGUGAAGACGCGGGUUACCCGCAGCAAGACGAAAAGACCCCGGAACCUUUACUGUAACUUAACAUUGGAUUUUAAAAUAGUAUGUGUAGCAUAGGUGGGAGGCUAUGAAACCGGCUCGUCAGGGCUGGUGGAGCCGCCAGUGAAAUACCACUCUUACUGUUUUGAGGUUCUAACCUUAUUCUGUGAAACCAGAAGAGGGACAGUGUUUGGCGGGCAGUUUGACUGGGGCGGUUGCCUCAUAAAAAGUAACUGAGGUGCCCAAAGGUUUCCUCAAGCCGUUUGGUAAUCGGUUGUAGAGCGUAAAGGUAUAAGGAAGCCUGACUGCGAGACCGACAGGUCGAGCAGAGUGGAAACACGGGCUUAAUGAUCCGGUGAUUCUGAAUGGAAGGGUCAUCGCUCAACGGAUAAAAGGUACUCCGGGGAUAACAGGCUGAUCUUGCCCAAGAGUUCAUAUCGACGGCAAGGUUUGGCACCUCGAU
rnacentral:rRNA from 1 species